rnacentral:lncRNA from 1 species
GUCAUUUAUGUAAAUAUUGCCUUUCUGAUCAUUUUAGCUGUUCGAGUUUCUCUUUAUAUAUUCUCAAGAUAGACACAAACAAUUGGGAAAAAAACACGACUCUGAUAGAGUAAUGGCUCAUAUAAGGAACCGGUCAUUUGAAACCAAAAAAAAAAGAGGGGAUAGGAAAAAAUAAAGGGGGCCUUUCAUUUUAUCAUUUUUGGAAUGGAAAAGUGACAUUCAAUUUUAUAUAGUUAUAAAUUUGCCGCGGUAUAAUGUUAUGGCGAAUUCUUCGUCAACCGUAGGCAUCAAUCUUUACGCCUCGUUUCGCUCAUCUGAAUUGUUAAAACCUGAAAAUUUAGUUUCAACAAUUUCUUCUAGCAGAGAAUUUUUCAUCUG